rnacentral:antisense_RNA from 1 species
CAAAGAUUAAUCAUUUUCUGCUUAAAAAAAAAAUGGCUUUGAUUUCCAACCAUGGAAUGCUCCACUGUUUCUCUUCUCUUCAAAGACAUCUACUGAAAGGAUUCCUUAACCAAGUGGCCAAAAUACUUUUCUGAGAAGAUUCACAGAGCAUAGGCCCCCUUAGGGUACACAGAGAUUUCAUUAGUCCCUAGAUGUUUCCUGAUCCUUUUAAAAACUGGUUAAAUUCAGAGACUCUAGGCAAUUCUUUCAGAACCUAUGAGGCAAAAACGAAAGAAGAAGGCAGGACAUGCAGUGUAACAAAUCUUGGAAUGAUUGGUCUGAGGACUCCACUUUCUUCACUGCCCAUUCAUCUUCAUACUGCUGUCAUAUUUUUUUUUAAAUUGGGAUAUGCAAUGAUCCUUAGUUUAUAAAUUCAACUCCACUUGGCCACA